GAUGAAGAACGCAGCGAAAUGCGAUAAGGAGUGUGAAUUGCAGAAUUCAGUGAAUCAUCGAAUCUUUGAACGCACAUUGCGCCCCUUGGUAUCCCGAGGGGCAUGCCUGUUCGAGCGUCAUUUCACCACUCAAGCCUGGCUUGGUGUUGGGCGACGUCCCCUUUGGGGACGCGCCUUGAAACGCUCGGCGGCGUGGCACCGGCUUUAAGCGUAGCAGAAUCUUUCGCUUUGGAAGUCGGGGCCCCGUCUGCCGGAAGACCUACUCGCAAGGUUGACCUCGGAUCAGGCAGGGAUACCCGCUGAACUUAAGCAUAUCAAUAAGCGGAGGA
rnacentral:misc_RNA from 1 species